rnacentral:rRNA from 1 species
UACGGGGGGGGCAAGCGUUGUUCGGAAUUACUGGGCGUAAAGGGCGCGUAGGCGGUUUGCUAAGUUGGAUGUGAAAACUCUGGGCUUAACCCAGAGCCUGCAUCCAAAACUGGCAAACUUGAGUACUGGAGGGGAAAGCGGAAUUCCUGGUGUAGCGGUGAAAUGCGUAGAUAUCAGGAGGAACACCGGUGGCGAAGGCGGCUUUCUGGACAGUAACUGACGCUGAGGCGCGAAAGCUAGGGGAGCAAACAGGAUUAGAUACCCUGGUAGUCCUAGCCCUAAACGAUGGAUACUUGGUGUGAGGGGGAUUGAAUCCCUUCGUGCCGUAGCUAACGCAAUAAGUAUCCCGCCUGGGGAGUACGGUCGCAAGGCUGAA